rnacentral:SRP_RNA from 1 species
GUCGAGCUUGGUAACGCAAGCUUGUAACCCAAGUGGGGGCAUUGAGGUGUUGGAACAUUGGUUCAGCGUUGGCUGUUCGGGUCUGGAGUGGCUCUAUUCCGGCCUGCCCAUUCCAAGCUAGGAGUUGAGUUGUGUGGCUUGAGCGAAGGCUCUAGGCUACACGAUUUCUAGAGCGGAUGGAACCGCGUAAGGCUGGUUUCACAGAGCAACGAUUACCUCCCGCUCUUGGCAGUGGAAGGAUAACGGGUCGGUGCCAUCCGGAUCCAUCAUGGAUAGCUGGGCUGCCCCAUUGAACCAACGCUUUUUUU